AUUUUGCACUUAGCAAGCGAAUUUGCUUCCCAGGGCCACUGUAACAACCAACCACGAAUGGGAGGCUCAACACAACUGAAACGCACGUCCUCACAGUCCUGGAGGCCCGAACUCCAAAACCAAGGCGCCAGCAGGGCCACGCUUCCUCCACGGAGCCUCGGGGAGCAGACGGUCUUGAGACGAGACUUGCUCCCGCAACCCUUUCCCAGCUGCAGCUGCCUCUCCGCCAUCUCUGCCUCCGUGGCCACGCGGCAUCUUCUCCCUGGCAUGGGCUGAACCACCGCAUCUCGGGCAGGGAAGAAAAAAAUGCUGGCAACUAAACCGUGAGGUCCCUUCAAGAGUAAAAUGGAACCUAAGAGGAAGACGGAACCUAAC
rnacentral:lncRNA from 10 species